rnacentral:rRNA from 1 species
UACGUAGGGUGCGAGCGUUGUCCGGAAUUAUUGGGCGUAAAGAGCUUGUAGGCGGUUUGUCGCGUCUGCCGUGAAAAUUCGAGGCUCAACCUCGAACUUGCGGUGGGUACGGGCAGACUAGAGUGUGGUAGGGGGAGACUGGAAUUCCUGGUGUAGCGGUGAAAUGCGCAGAUAUCAGGAGGAACACCGAUGGCGAAGGCAGGUCUCUGGGCCACUACUGACGCUGAGAAGCGAAAAGCAUGGGGGAGCGAACAGG